CAACCCUCGAACCCCUCCGGGGGGUCGGCGUUGGGGAUCGGCCCCUCACCGGGCCGCCCCCGAAAUACAGUGGCGGNCUCGCCGCAGCCUCUCAUGCACAGUAGUUUGCACACUCGCACCGGGAGCGCGGCGCGGCCACAGCCGUAAAACACCCCAAAUUUUCUGAAAUG
rnacentral:rRNA from 1 species